rnacentral:lncRNA from 1 species
ACAUGUGUGCUGAGCAACAUGCUGGAGACACUCGGUGAGUACCAAACGGCUGUGGGUCCGGGAGGAUGGGCCUGACCAUGUCCUGAGCAGAUGUAAAUCAAAUGGAAACCCAUGCCACUGUGACCCUACUGAAUGCUCUCGCGAUAAAGUGUAGACGGUCACCAUGUUUCUACCAGUCUGUGAGGCUGGGGACUCCCUAAAAGAGAUGAAAUGCUAGAAAUAAAUAUGGAGAAAACAAGAGAGUCCACUCCAGAAAGGGGGAAAGGACAAAAGGCAAAGUCAUCGUCACCCUGGGAGCUGGGACUAAGCUCACUCUGAGAUUUCCCUCGACCUUUGAAAAUUUGAUCCCCCUACCAAGAUGGAGUGAGCCACUGUUGCUGUUGCUCAUUUUAAGACUCUCAGCGACUUUCUGAAAUGGCUUUCCGAAGCUCUGUGCCAUUCGCAUGGAUCCUAGUGUCUCUGAAGCUGGUGAAUACGGUGUCCAGUGACUUCCCUCUAAUCCGUUCAUUUCAUCUGCUGGCCUUGGCACUCACUCCCUUACCGCACACGCAUCUCCCAACUCCAGCAAAGCAGAACAUUCUUUGUCCCUUUCUUUAUCAGCAAAGCCUUUUCUAAUCAAGUGACUGGCUUCUCCUUCCGAAGAAGUGAGCAGGUGGUGCCUCCCGAGUGCAUGGGGCGGGGCCUGGAUUAAGCUAACAUGGUUUGAAUUCCAGUCUUUCCCUUAGUGAUUGGAGGCGUCUGGGGUGGUUUAGAUGAACAGUGGAGGACCCUUGUGGAGAGUUUAAGGACCUAGUGGAGGCUGGGAUGUUCUGACCGUUUAGACAACCUACCAAGGCUUUGUUCUACAUGCUCUUAAGCAGUUCCUCCUCCUCCUCCUCCUCCUCCUCCUCCUCCUCCUCCUUCUCCUCCUCCCCUCCUCCCCCUUCUCCUUCUCCUUCUUCUGGUAGGGGAAAAAAUAUCUGAAUUCCUGGAGAUUUGCUUUCGAGGGAGAAAACCUGAAGAGCCAGCAUGUUCCUUCACCUCAUGUUACAUCUGGGAUGAAGCGUGAGUCGUAGUCUUAGAGGGCUUGGCACAGACAACAGUUCAGUUGAACCCUGGUAUUCUCCUGUUUUUAAUGACCUUGCCUUCCAGCCACAGUACCUUGCCACCAGCUUUUAGGUGUUUGUGCCUUGAGAAGAAUUCCUCUGACAUACAUUAGCAGGGCUACUGCAAUGUGGACCUUGGUGAUCUCAGAAAUGACCUUGCACGUAGGCAGGGCUGAAAGUAAGACAAUCUCAGCUCUCUUGUAGGUGACUUUCCUGGAGCCACAUAGUAGGAUCAUUGGCCUACCUCACUGGCCUCAAACCACCACGUGGGACAGACUGACAGACUGCACUGUCUGGUCAGGACGACUGUCUUCCUGAGGGACAGAUCAGUUUUAGGCUCUCAAAAGCACAACACACCCAGUGAGACCAAAGUGGACAAACAGACCAGGAAGUAAGAGAGUCCCCAAGAACCCCAUCCAUGUCUGAGGACCAUUUUAGGAGACAGCUGCUUGAAACCGGUUCUCACCAGAAUUCCUUAGGCUGGGGGAGGGGGGAGGGGCGGGGAGAGGGGGGGGUGGGGUGGAGCCCCGGAGGAUUUGCUUUCCUUUGGUCUCUGUCUUCCUCUUCCUCACUCCUUCAGGGUUCUUUCUUUGGAGGGAAAUACAUUUGCAGCAGGCUGGUCACUGGCUACCCGUGAUUCCAGGAUGCUUUCUGAGAUAUCUGCACAGUGCGCAUCUGCUUUGUCCCAGAGCCUGGGUGAUACUCUGAGGCUGGGGAAUCGGACCUAAGAUCUAACUGAGGCCUUACUUGUGGACCAAAAAAGCACAUUAAAACAGACCAGGGCAUCUUUCCCUCUGCCAGCAUCCUUUCUGGGUGCCGGUAGGAUUCUGAAAGCGUUCUGCUUUCUAACUCAGAUGGAAGACCUGAGAUCCGCCCAGCACUGGUUCCUUUUAUGCUGAGUCAGUUUUUAUAAACACUGAGGAAGCAUUGUGUGGGCAUCUCAGGCAUUUUGAUGCUAAUGAUUUAAUCUCCCUUUGGCUCCACUAACAGCUGGGGCCAGACAUACCAUGCUGGUGGCUUAGAGACCCACUGGCAGGUUUGCCCCAAAGGGCCAGGAGGUUGGCACCCCCCCUCCCUUCCCAGUGCCAGCCUUUAGGCUGGAGGAAAUGCAGAGGCUGGUUGCCUUUUCUUUAUCUCAGUUUCCUUUGGCCAUCCCAUCAAGAACGGCAGCAGCAGGAGGAGGGUUCAUUCAUGUGUACCCAUGAAUAUGUUGCAGUCUUCACCUCUGCUGGGUCUCUCUGAAUCUUGUUGAGGAGGUCUGUGGGGGCGGGUGAGGGCAGGGCCUUAUUUAGGAGAGGGAGGCCCACUGCAAACUCUGUGGGGAUGUGUUGGCAAGGAAGGGAGGGGAGACCAGACAGGGACAAAGGCUUACACCAACAUGAACGACUUUUUGCAAACAGGUUGAUUCUCAGCAGCUUUAUCUACCUCAUUUUGCUUAUCAUGAGCAACUGUCUGCUACUUAUCCAUUCUGCAAGAGGAUCCUAGGGCAGCUUGUGGGGAGCAGGUGCCACCCCAGCUUCUGGCUCUGAACUGUUCCAGGUCACGUUUCUUUCUUCAGUUCUACUUAGUGUCUGUGUGCCCCGCCCCCACCCAUGAGCAGACCACCGAGGAGAGGAAACGGUUAACAUUAGGAGACACUAAAGAUACAAGUGUCACCUACAGUCCUGAGGGCUGUGAUCCAGGAACCAGGAUGAAGGGAGACUGCCACCUACGGGCCAGGUUCCAGGGAUGUCCACGUGUGGAUUCUAAGGGACGCAGAAGGCCUUCCAGGAAUGGUUUGCUAGUUGCUCUUUCUGCCAACACACUAAAAACAAAACAAAACC